CCUACGGGUGGCAGCAGUGAGGAAUAUUGGUCAAUGGGCGCGAGCCUGAACCAGCCAAGUCGCGUGAGGGAAGACGGUCCUAUGGAUUGUAAACCUCUUUUGUCGGGGAGCAAAAGACGCCACGCGUGGCGUUCCGAGAGUACCCGAAGAAAAAGCAUAGGCUAACUCCGUGCCAGCAGCCGCGGUAAUACGGAGGAUGCGAGCGUUAUCCGGAUUUAUUGGGUUUAAAGGGUGCGCAGGCGGAAGAUCAAGUCAGUGGUAAAAUUGAGAGGCUCAACCUCUUCGAGCCGUUGAAACUGGUUUGCUUGAGUGAGCGAGAGGUAUGCGGAAUGCGUGGUGUAGCGGUGAAAUGCAUAGAUAUCACGCAGAACUCCGAUUGCGAAGGCAGCAUACCGGCGCUCAACUGACGCUCAGGCACGAAAGUGUGGGUAUCGAACAGGAUUAGAUACCCGUGUAGUC
rnacentral:rRNA from 1 species